rnacentral:rRNA from 1 species
GUCGAGCGAACAGACGAGGAGCUUGCUCCUCUGACGUUAGCGGCGGACGGGUGAGUAACACGUGGAUAACCUACCUAUAAGACUGGGAUAACUUCGGGAAACCGGAGCUAAUACCGGAUAAUAUAUUGAACCGCAUGGUUCAAUAGUGAAAGACGGUUUUGCUGUCACUUAUAGAUGGAUCCGCGCCGCAUUAGCUAGUUGGUAAGGUAACGGCUUACCAAGGCAACGAUGCGUAGCCGACCUGAGAGGGUGAUCGGCCACACUGGAACUGAGACACGGUCCAGACUCCUACGGGAGGCAGCAGUAGUGAAUCUUCCGCAAUGGGCGAAAGCCUGACGGAGCAACGCCGCGUGAGUGAUGAAGGUCUUCGGAUCGUAAAACUCUGUUAUUAGGGAAGAACAAAUGUGUAAGUAACUAUGCACGUCUUGACGGUACCUAAUCAGAAAGCCACGGCUAACUACGUGCCAGCAGCCGCGGUAAUACGUAGGUGGCAAGCGUUAUCCGGAAUUAUUGGGCGUAAAGCGCGCGUAGGCGGUUUUUUAAGUCUGAUGUGAAAGCCCACGGCUCAACCGUGGAGGGUCAUUGGAAACUGGAAAACUUGAGUGCAGAAGAGGAAAGUGGAAUUCCAUGUGUAGCGGUGAAAUGCGCAGAGAUAUGGAGGAACACCAGUGGCGAAGGCGACUUUCUGGUCUGUAACUGACGCUGAUGUGCGAAAGCGUGGGGAUCAAACAGGAU